GGUUAAGCGACUAAGCGUACACGGUGGAUGCCCUGGCAGUCAGAGGCGAUGAAGGACGUGCUAAUCUGCGAUAAGCGUCGGUAAGGUGAUAUGAACCGUUAUAACCGGCGAUUUCCGAAUGGGGAAACCCAGUGUGAUUCGUCACACUAUCAUUAACUGAAUCCAUAGGUUAAUGAGGCGAACCGGGGGAACUGAAACAUCUAAGUACCCCGAGGAAAAGAAAUCAACCGAGAUUCCCCCAGUAGCGGCGAGCGAACGGGGAGCAGCCCAGAGCCUGAAUCAGUGUGUGUGUUAGUGGAAGCGUCUGGAAAGGCGCGCGAUACAGGGUGACAGCCCCGUACACAAAAAUGCACAUGCUGUGAGCUCGAUGAGUAGGGCGGGACACGUGGUAUCCUGUCUGAAUAUGGGGGGACCAUCCUCCAAGGCUAAAUACUCCUGACUGACCGAUAGUGAACCAGUACCGUGAGGGAAAGGCGAAAAGAACCCCGGCGAGGGGAGUGAAAAAGAACCUGAAACCGUGUACGUACAAGCAGUGGGAGCCUCUUUAUGGGGUGACUGCGUACCUUUUGUAUAAUGGGUCAGCGACUUAUAUUCUGUAGCAAGGUUAACCGAAUAGGGGAGCCGAAGGGAAACCGAGUCUUAACUGGGCGUUAAGUUGCAGGGUAUAGACCCGAAACCCGGUGAUCUAGCCAUGGGCAGGUUGAAGGUUGGGUAACACUAACUGGAGGACCGAACCGACUAAUGUUGAAAAAUUAGCGGAUGACUUGUGGCUGGGGGUGAAAGGCCAAUCAAACCGGGAGAUAGCUGGUUCUCCCCGAAAGCUAUUUAGGUAGCGCCUCGUGAAUUCAUCUCCGGGGGUAGAGCACUGUUUCGGCAAGGGGGUCAUCCCGACUUACCAACCCGAUGCAAACUGCGAAUACCGGAGAAUGUUAUCACGGGAGACACACGGCGGGUGCUAACGUCCGUCGUGAAGAGGGAAACAACCCAGACCGCCAGCUAAGGUCCCAAAGUCAUGGUUAAGUGGGAAACGAUGUGGGAAGGCCCAGACAGCCAGGAUGUUGGCUUAGAAGCAGCCAUCAUUUAAAGAAAGCGUAAUAGCUCACUGGUCGAGUCGGCCUGCGCGGAAGAUGUAACGGGGCUAAACCAUGCACCGAAGCUGCGGCAGCGACGCUUAUGCGUUGUUGGGUAGGGGAGCGUUCUGUAAGCCUGCGAAGGUGUACUGUGAGGUAUGCUGGAGGUAUCAGAAGUGCGAAUGCUGACAUAAGUAACGAUAAAGCGGGUGAAAAGCCCGCUCGCCGGAAGACCAAGGGUUCCUGUCCAACGUUAAUCGGGGCAGGGUGAGUCGACCCCUAAGGCGAGGCCGAAAGGCGUAGUCGAUGGGAAACAGGUUAAUAUUCCUGUACUUGGUGUUACUGCGAAGGGGGGACGGAGAAGGCUAUGUUGGCCGGGCGACGGUUGUCCCGGUUUAAGCGUGUAGGCUGGUUUUCCAGGCAAAUCCGGAAAAUCAAGGCUGAGGCGUGAUGACGAGGCACUACGGUGCUGAAGCAACAAAUGCCCUGCUUCCAGGAAAAGCCUCUAAGCAUCAGGUAACAUCAAAUCGUACCCCAAACCGACACAGGUGGUCAGGUAGAGAAUACCAAGGCGCUUGAGAGAACUCGGGUGAAGGAACUAGGCAAAAUGGUGCCGUAACUUCGGGAGAAGGCACGCUGAUACGUAGGUGAAGUCCCUUGCGGAUGGAGCUGAAAUCAGUCGAAGAUACCAGCUGGCUGCAACUGUUUAUUAAAAACACAGCACUGUGCAAACACGAAAGUGGACGUAUACGGUGUGACGCCUGCCCGGUGCCGGAAGGUUAAUUGAUGGGGUUAGCGCAAGCGAAGCUCUUGAUCGAAGCCCCGGUAAACGGCGGCCGUAACUAUAACGGUCCUAAGGUAGCGAAAUUCCUUGUCGGGUAAGUUCCGACCUGCACGAAUGGCGUAAUGAUGGCCAGGCUGUCUCCACCCGAGACUCAGUGAAAUUGAACUCGCUGUGAAGAUGCAGUGUACCCGCGGCAAGACGGAAAGACCCCGUGAACCUUUACUAUAGCUUGACACUGAACAUUGAGCCUUGAUGUGUAGGAUAGGUGGGAGGCUUUGAAGUGUGGACGCCAGUCUGCAUGGAGCCGACCUUGAAAUACCACCCUUUAAUGUUUGAUGUUCUAACGUUGGCCCCUAAUCGGGGUUGCGGACAGUGUCUGGUGGGUAGUUUGACUGGGGCGGUCUCCUCCUAAAGAGUAACGGAGGAGCACGAAGGUUGGCUAAUCCUGGUCGGACAUCAGGAGGUUAGUGCAAUGGCAUAAGCCAGCUUGACUGCGAGCGUGACGGCGCGAGCAGGUGCGAAAGCAGGUCAUAGUGAUCCGGUGGUUCUGAAUGGAAGGGCCAUCGCUCAACGGAUAAAAGGUACUCCGGGGAUAACAGGCUGAUACCGCCCAAGAGUUCAUAUCGACGGCGGUGUUUGGCACCUCGAUGUCGGCUCAUCACAUCCUGGGGCUGAAGUAGGUCCCAAGGGUAUGGCUGUUCGCCAUUUAAAGUGGUACGCGAGCUGGGUUUAGAACGUCGUGAGACAGUUCGGUCCCUAUCUGCCGUGGGCGCUGGAGAACUGAGGGGGGCUGCUCCUAGUACGAGAGGACCGGAGUGGACGCAUCACUGGUGUUCGGGUUGUCAUGCCAAUGGCACUGCCCGGUAGCUAAAUGCGGAAGAGAUAAGUGCUGAAAGCAUCUAAGCACGAAACUUGCCCCGAGAUGAGUUCUCCCUGACUCCCUGAGAGUCCUGAAGGAACGUUGAAGACGACGACGUUGAUAGGCCGGGUGUGUAAGCGCAGCGAUGCGUUGAGCUAACCGGUACUAAUGAACCGUGAGGCUUAACCUU
rnacentral:rRNA from 1 species